rnacentral:lncRNA from 1 species
UGGUCACCCCUCCCCCCCCAAAAAAAACCAAAAAACUGCACAAGGUUUUAAGUGCAUUUUAAGUAUAUUCAGUGCAGCACUGUUGAAAGAACAACCCUCUUUUUCUUUCUUUUGGUAGUCUCUUACCCCUACAAAUUUAGCUUCAUUUGGUAUAAGCAGCAAGCAAAUAACUAGAACAAUAAACAGAAUGAAGGCAUUAGUCCCUGAGUAUUAGUAGCCUAGUUACAGAUUGCACUGCGUCAGACUGCUCCACACCCAGAGCAGGUCAGGUGACUUCAGUCCUGCUGCAGUUGUAUAGCAGAGGAGACUGCAGACUUCGGUUGAGGAAACAAGAUUAUUUCAUGUCUCAGGGUGUAGCUUUUUGCAGUUAUAGCUUUUCUGUUGGUAUGCAUAAUUGAUAAUUACAGCUCCAGGACAGAUCGUGACGAGAUGGAUGGUCAGAAGAAAAAUUGGAAGGACAAGGGCUACCGUCCAGCUUUAAGGUUCUCCAGUUUUAUGAAAAGAUACCUUGGGCCAGAUUGCAGAAGACAUUGGAUUUUGGACUUUUAUCGUAAAGGAAAUAAAAAGCGUUUGGAAGUUUUCAGGUAGAAGGUGAUAAAACAGUAGCAGUGUUUGAAAGAUUCAUUUGUGGGCACUAAGAAAAAUUGGAAGAGAUAGAAUGUAGAGGCAGACCAGUUAGGAUGAUUGUAGUUGUGUCCUCCUGUAAAGCAAAUAGUUCCUUAACUUGGCCUGAAAUAGGAAUGAAAAGGAAGUGGCAGAUUUAAUAAACUCAAGAAAGGAAUUACUUAGCAUUUGGCAUAGAUUUGGUGAAGGGUGAAGGAGGGUCUUAAAGGACAAGAUGAAGUUUCAGGCCAGAGCGAAGCUUUGACAUUGAUAGUACUAUAAUACUGGCAGAAACAGCUG